CUGUCCCUACGGGAGGCAGCAGUGGGGAAUAUUGCUCAAUGGGGGAAACCCUGAAGCAGCAACGCCGCGUGGAGGUUGAAGGUUUUCGGAUUGUAAACUCCUUUUGUUAGAGAAGAUAAUGACGGUAUCUAACGAAUAAGCACCGGCUAACUCCGUGCCAGCAGCCGCGGUAAUACGGAGGGUGCAAGCGUUACUCGGAAUCACUGGGCGUAAAGAGCGCGUAGGCGGGAUAGCAAGUCAGAUGUGAAAUCCUAUGGCUUAACCAUAGAACUGCAUUUGAAACUGUUAUUCUAGAGUAUGGGCGG
rnacentral:rRNA from 1 species